rnacentral:rRNA from 1 species
UACGGAGGGGGCUAGCGUUGUUCGGAAUUACUGGGCGUAAAGCGCCCGUAGGCGGCUUUGUAAGUUAGAGGUGAAAGCCCGGAGCUCAACUCCGGAAUUGCCUUUAAGACUGCAUCGCUCGAAUCAUGGAGAGGUGAGUGGAAUUCCGAGUGUAGAGGUGAAAUUCGUAGAUAUUCGGAAGAACACCAGUGGCGAAGGCGACUCACUGGACAUGUAUUGACGCUGAGGUGCGAAAGCGUGGGGAGCAAACAGG